UACGGGGGGAGCAAGCGUUGUUCGGAUUUACUGGGCGUAAAGGGCGCGUAGGCGGCCACGACAAGUCACUUGUGAAAUCUCCGGGCUUAACUCGGAAAGGUCAAGUGAUACUGUCGGGCUAGAGUGCAGAAGGGGCAACUGGAAUUCUCGGUGUAGUGGUGAAAUGCGUAGAUAUCGGGAGGAACACCAGUGGCGAAGGCGACUGCCUGGCCUGUUGCUUGACGCUGAGGCGCGAAAGCUAGGGGAGCAAACGGG
rnacentral:rRNA from 1 species